rnacentral:hammerhead_ribozyme from 1 species
AUCCAACGGACGAGUCCCAAAUAGGAUGAAAUGCGCGUGAUUGUAU